UGGGGAAUAUUGCACAAUGGGGGAAACCCUGAUGCAGCAACGCCGCGUGAGUGAUGACGGCCUUCGGGUUGUAAAGCUCUGUCUUCAGGGACGAUAAUGACGGUACCUGAGGAGGAAGCCACGGCUAACUACGUGCCAGCAGCCGCGGUAAUACGUAGGUGGCAAGCGUUGUCCGGAUUUACUGGGCGUAAAGGGAGCGUAGGCGGACUUUUAAGUGGGAUGUGAAAUACCCGGGCUUAACCUGGGUGCUGCAUUCCAAACUGGGAGUCUAGAGUGCAGGAGGGGAAAGUGGAAUUCCUAGUGUAGCGGUGAAAGUGCGUAGAGAUUAGGAAGAACACCAGUGGCGAAGGCGACUUUCUGGACUGUAACUGACGCUGAGGCUCGAAAGCGUGGGGAGCGAACAGGAUUAGAUACCCUGGUACGUCCGACGCCGUAAACGAUAGAAUACUAGGUGUAGGGGUUGUCGAUGGACC
rnacentral:rRNA from 1 species